GGACAAUCAUUUUAGCUACGUCCUGCUCUUCUUGCUAUUACUCAGUACAACUUCCUUUUAGAUAUAUGGAGUCAAAGGUCUGGGUUUUGUGGCCAUAAGCUGGUCAUUGAAAAUUUGAAAUAUAGAUAUCUUUUGGAUAGGGCUUCAUAGAGUGUUAAGUUUUUAUGUUGGUUUUCUGACUCCAGAUUUCAUCUUCAACGAUAUCUUCAGCCGCCAUUACGGUUUGACUUUCUC
rnacentral:misc_RNA from 1 species